CCUAUGGGUUGUAAACUUCUUUUGUAUAGGGAUAAACCUUUUCCAAGGUGUGAAAGCUGAAGGUACUAUACGAAUAAGCACCGGCUAACUCCGUGCCAGCAGCCGCGGUAAUACGGAGGGUGCAAGCGUUAUCCGGAUUUAUUGGGUUUAAAGGGUCCGUAGGCGGAUCUGUAAGUCAGUGGUGAAAUCUCAUAGCUUAACUAUGAAACUGCCAUUGAUACUGCAGGUCUUGAGUAAAGUAGAAGUGGCUGGAAUAAGUAGUGUAGCGGUGAAAUGCAUAGAUAUUACUUAGAACACCAAUUGCGAAGGCAGGUCACUAUGUUUUAACUGACGCUGAUGGACGAAAGCGUGGGGAGCGAACAGGAUUAGAUACCCUGGUAGUCCACGCCGUAAACGAUGCUAACUCGUUUUUGGGUUUUCGGAUUCAGAGACUAAGCGAAAGUGAUAAGUUAGCCACCUGGGGAGUACGUUCGCAAGAAUGAAACUCAAAGGAAUUGACGGGGGCCCGCACAAGCGGUGGAUUAUGUGGUUUAAUUCGAUGAUACGCGAGGAACCUUACCAAGGCUUAAAUGGGAAUUGACAGGUUUAGAAAUAGACUUUUCUUCGGACAAUUUUCAAGGUGCUGCAUGGUUGUCGUCAGCUCGUGCCGUGAGGUGUUAGGUUAAGUCCUGCAACGAGCGCAACCCCUGUCACUAGUUGCCAUCAUUCAGUUGGGGACUCUAGUGAGACUGCCUACGCAAGUAGAGAGGAAGGUGGGGAUGACGUCAAAUCAUCACGGCCCUUACGCCUUGGGCCACACACGUAAUACAAUGGCCGGUACAGAGGGCAGCUACCUAGCGAUAGGAUGCGAAUCUCGAAAGCCGGUCUCAGUUCGGAUUGGAGUCUGCAACUCGACUCUAUGAAGCUGGAAUCGCUAGUAAUCGCGCAUCAGCCAUGGCGCGGUGAAUACGUUCCCGGGCCUUGUACACACCGCCCGUCAAGCCAUGGAAGUUUGGGGUACCUGAAGUCUGGUGACCGUAA
rnacentral:rRNA from 1 species